rnacentral:rRNA from 1 species
UAACACGUAUCCAACCUGCCGAUAACUCGGGGAUAGCCUUUCGAAAGAAAGAUUAAUACCCGAUGGCAUAAUAGAACCGCAUGGUUUGAUUAUUAAAGAAUUUCGGUUAUCGAUGGGGAUGCGUUCCAUUAGGCAGUUGGUGGGGUAACGGCCCACCAAACCUUCGAUGGAUAGGGGUUCUGAGAGGAAGGUCCCCCACAUUGGAACUGAGACACGGUCCAAACUCCUACGGGAGGCAGCAGUGAGGAAUAUUGGUCAAUGGACGAGAGUCUGAACCAGCCAAGUAGCGUGAAGGAUGACUGCCCUAUGGGUUGUAAACUUCUUUUAUAUGGGAAUAAAGUGGUCCACGUGUGGAUUUUUGUAUGUACCAUAUGAAUAAGGAUCGGCUAACUCCGUGCCAGCAGCCGCGGUAAUACGGAGGAUCCGAGCGUUAUCCGGAUUUAUUGGGUUUAAAGGGAGCGUAGGUGGACAGUUAAGUCAGUUGUGAAAGUUUGCGGCUCAACCGUAAAAUUGCAGUUGAUACUGGCUGUCUUGAGUACAGUAGAGGUGGGCGGAAUUCGUGGUGUAGCGGUGAAAUGCUUAGAUAUCACGAAGAACUCCGAUUGCGAAGGCAGCUCACUGGACUGCAACUGACACUGAUGCUCGAAAGUGUGGGUAUCAAACAGGAUUAGAUACCCUGGUAGUCCACACAGUAAACGAUGAAUACUCGCUGU